rnacentral:lncRNA from 1 species
CACCCGCGGCGCGAGCGAGCGCAUGCAACAAAACAAAACAAACUCGUGCCGGCUUCCUGUUGUGCAACCUCUUUCUGAGCCGGGUGUUGGAAGGAGGGUGGACUUUGGAAUCAGAAAACCUGGAAAUCUCAACUCCACUACUUACUCCAAAGACGAGAGGUUGUACCCUGGCCCAUUGAGGACUUCAGUCCUGCUACCUGAGGCUUUGUAAAGAGCAGGUCUCCAGCAGAAGGUGUGGCCCAGAUUAAAGGUGUGUGCCACCACGCCUGGAUCUGGGACUUGCUUUGUCCCAGAUGACCUUGAGCUCAGAGAUCUCCUUGCCUUAGUCUCCUGAGAUUCAUAGCCACUAUGCCUCAAGAUGUCCAGGCCAAGAUUCAGGUCAGAAACUUCUCUCUCAGUCUCAAGAUCUGGAUCACAGAGCCGAACAUUACCCCACCUUGGAGAGUUCGGUGCAUGCGAAUGACGAGUGGAUGUAUCACAAAUACACACCAGGGUAUGAAGAGACUUCUGUUGGAAGCUACCAAGUGUCACUGUAAGAAGAGACACCAUCUUAUCCUGGUUGUUUAUAUUAGUUCUCUACAGGUUCUGUGACAAAGUCUGAUAGACUGCUGACUUCAGACAACAGGAUACAUCUUCUUGCAGCUCAAGAGGCUGAUUUACUCCAAGGAUUUCUCAUGCCCUUUGGAGUCCUAUCCUGUCCCUAAUUAGUCUAGUAGAAACUCUGAAAUCCCACCUUUGUCUCAAUAUCUUAAAACAGAACUCCCACAAAGGAAGACAUAUCCCAAAUCAAUAUCAUAGAACAGACAUGCCUUGCUAGAAGUCCUCUGUCACCCUUGAGACCUUUCACCCUCAAACCUGGUGUUCUGAGGCAAAGAUCGUGCUCUGACUCUCAGCAUCUGUUAUUGACUUCAACUUCGCUGCGGAAGACUCCCUCCAAUGGUUUAGUUGAGUACAAGACUACCCAGCUAAAGACAGGAUAUAAUAAUGUGUAAUAUAACAUACACUCAUAUGUAAUAAAAAUUAUUCCUGUUUGCCUG